ensembl:lncRNA
GUUUUGUUGUGCCAUUGUACUGAUGCCAAGUUUCCACUGGCUUUAAAUGUCUGAUGGCUGACAUUCAUUCUUACAAACACUUCUCUGAUAGAGAAACAAGGUCACUUAGUCCUACUAAAAGUAAAUAAAUAAAAAGUAAAACCUGCAGAAAAUGUCUGGAAAGUCUUUGAAGGAACAGUAACCCUGAGCAGUUUUCUGACUUCCUAAGGAAGAGAGAAGGCAAGGAACCAAAAAGAAGGAAGUGCAGAUAAAUUCCGAGCCAUGGCAGAGCAGGAGAUACAGCUCCCGUUCAGAGCAGAGAUGUGGAUAGAGAGGGAAGCUCCUCAAGGCUGACAGGGCAUGAAGCUGCCCCGCUUUGGGGAAUGGAAGCAGGAGCUCUCCAGAGGGAUUCCUGAGCUCCUGCAGGGGGAAGGCAGCUCCCUCAGUCCAGUAUGUUACCAGCUCAAGCUCUGCAUGCAGUAACACUGGAAAGCAGCAAGGAGACUGGCUUCUCUCAUCUCCUGCAUGCAUAAAUCUGGAUAUCUGCUGCAUGGUGGCCAGUCUCAGCAAGAUUUCAGAAACCAAGGAUGGAACAUGGAAAUUUUUGGAGCUUGACCAGUCCUGGUUAUUCCUCCUCUACAUCAUGCUGUUCCAGUGAAUUCUUCUACAGUGGCUGUAGACACUGCUUGGGGACACAAUGGGUAAUUCACAUCCUUUUAAGGUUGGAAGUGAAAAACAGACUACAGAAUGACAGGAGAAAGGAAAAUGCUGGUUUUCAUGGCUUCAUCACUGUUGAACAGAGCAGCCUUAGGUUGGGUCAUUUCUUUGUGCCGGAGGACUUUUCAAAGGAUGCUGAAGCUUUCAUACUACACGGCUUACAGUGCAGAUGGAACAGGACGUGUCGUUAUGUUUACUGUGUGUGGCUGUCAGUGCUUAGCAGUAAGGUGUGCUUGGUUAUUAGCAAUGUCUGGUUCCUGUAUCACGAACCCUACGCCUGCAGCUUUUCUCCUGCCUUUGCCUCUCAGCUGUGAAUUACUGCACUGGUGUGUCUGUGCUCAGGACUACCCAGAAGGAAACACACAAGGCCCAUUUCUGGACUUCAUGAGCUACAAUGUUCGGUGCUGCACAGGUGAGCAUGGUGUGGACAGCAGCACAUGGAUGGGCAUGUCAGGGAAGUACCACAGGGAAGAGCACAGCAAUGCCUUCGAUUCCCCCAGGCUCUUCUCAUAACAUCCUAUGCAAAAUGUCUGCAACAUGGGGAUGUUGAGCAUAGCAAAAGCACAAGCACUAGCAUCGCCAGUGGAAACACUUAUCUGGAAAGAAUGUUCUUCAUUGCACCAUUGGGGAAAUUAAAUCAAAUUAAGC